rnacentral:rRNA from 1 species
UGGGAACCUUCCCUAUGGUUCGGAAUAGCUCAGGGAAACUUGGGGUAAUACCGGAUAAGCCCUUCGGGGAAAGAUUAUCGCCAUUGGAUGGGCCCGCGUCGGAUUAGCUAGUUGGUGAGGUAACGGCUCACCAAGGCAACGAUCCGUAGCUGGUCUGAGAGGAUGAUCAGCCACACUGGGACUGAGACACGGCCCAGACUCCUACGGGAGGCAG